rnacentral:lncRNA from 1 species
UGAGAUGUCCCCGGAGCCUUAGGGCAUUAACCACUGGGGCUGGGUACCCCACAGGGUGAAAAAUAAAAGGAAGAAACAAUCCUGGAAGAAGACAAUCUGCGCUCCGUAUCUAAAACAAAAAAACAAAAAAAAACAAAAAAAACGUGGAUAACAGCCCAAGAUGGUAUUUUGAAGUAAGUAGACACCUGGAGAACACAGUCCUCCUGCUACCGGGACGAUGGAUAGACAUCUUCAAUCAAGACAUCCUAAGGACUCCUACGAGUUUAGAUGAAGCUGGCAUCUACAUUCUUCCCUAGGAGACUCUCCGGUUGUGUUUGUUUGGAAGGCGACCUCGGUAAGCCUGGAGCUAGAUGUCAACUGACGAGACGCUUCUGAGAGGGACUCAAAACUGCCGACCUUGGGAAUUUGCUCUAGAGGAGAGAAAUUCUUGGCCACUGAGAGAAUGCUGAGAAGACAGGGGAGUGAAAAGAACGUGUCAACAGAGUGAGCCAAGCCCAGGGGACAUGACAGAGUGCCACAAGAAACCAUUGCUCGGUAAAGGACACCUCAGAUGAGAGUGUACAAAAUAUGAUCAUCCCUCAUCACCAGGGGCAGCCCUAGGACCCUUGCCCAGGGUACCACAAUCUUAGGGUGCUCAAGUCCCUUCUAUAAACAGCAAAAUGAAUUAGG